rnacentral:rRNA from 1 species
UACGUAGGGGGCUAGCGUUGUCCGGAUUUAUUGGGCGUAAAGAGCGUGUAGGCGGCCAGGUAGGUCUGCUGUGAAAACUCGAGGCUCAACCUCGAGACGUCGGCGGAAACCAUCUGGCUAGAGUCCGGAAGAGGAGAGUGGAAUUCCUGGUGUAGCGGUGAAAUGCGCAGAUAUCAGGAAGAACACCCGUGGCGAAAGCGGCUCUCUGGAACGGUACUGACGCUGAGACGCGAAAGCGUGGGGGAGCGAACAGG